AACUGAAGAGUUUGAUCAUGGCUCAGAUUGAACGCUGGCGGCAGGCUUAACACAUGCAAGUCGAGCGGGGGAAGGUAGCUUGCUACCGGACCUAGCGGCGGACGGGUGAGUAAUGCUUAGGAAUCUGCCUAUUAGUGGGGGACAACAUCUCGAAAGGGAUGCUAAUACCGCAUACGUCCUACGGGAGAAAGCAGGGGAUCUUCGGACCUUGCGCUAAUAGAUGAGCCUAAGUCGGAUUAGCUAGUUGGUGGGGUAAAGGYCUACCAAGGCGACGAUCUGUAGCGGGUCUGAGAGGAUGAUCCGCCACACUGGGACUGAGACACGGCCCAGACUCCUACGGGAGGCAGCAGUGGGGAAUAUUGGACAAUGGGGGGAACCCUGAUCCAGCCAUGCCGCGUGUGUGAAGAAGGCCUUAUGGUUGUAAAGCACUUUAAGCGAGGAGGAGGCUACUCUAGUUAAUACCUAGAGAUAGUGGACGUUACUCGCAGAAUAAGCACCGGCUAACUCUGUGCCAGCAGCCGCGGUAAUACAGAGGGUGCGAGCGUUAAUCGGAUUUACUGGGCGUAAAGCGUGCGUAGGCGGCUUAUUAAGUCGGAUGUGAAAUCCCCGAGCUUAACUUGGGAAUUGCAUUCGAUACUGGUGAGCUAGAGUAUGGGAGAGGAUGGUAGAAUUCCAGGUGUAGCGGUGAAAUGCGUAGAGAUCUGGAGGAAUACCGAUGGCGAAGGCAGCCAUCUGGCCUAAUACUGACGCUGAGGUACGAAAGCAUGGGGAGCAAACAGGAUUAGAUACCCUGGUAGUCCAUGCCGUAAACGAUGUCUACUAGCCGUUGGGGCCUUUGAGGCUUUAGUGGCGCAGCUAACGCGAUAAGUAGACCGCCUGGGG
rnacentral:rRNA from 1 species